UACGGAAGGUUCAGGCGUUAUCCGGAUUUAUUGGGUUUAAAGGGAGCGCAGGCGGACCUUUAAGUCAGCUGUGAAAUACGGCGGCUCAACCGUCGAACUGCAGUUGAUACUGGAGGUCUUGAGUGCACACAGGGAUACUGGAAUUCAUGGUGUAGCGGUGAAAUGCUUAGAUAUCAUGAAGAACUCCGAUCGCGAAGGCAGGUAUCCGGGGUGCAACUGACGCUGAGGCUCGAAAGUGCGGGUAUCAAACAGG
rnacentral:rRNA from 1 species